rnacentral:rRNA from 1 species
GCUAUACUGCAGUCGAACGCACAGCGAAAGGUGCUUGCACCUUUCAAGUGAGUGGCGAACGGGUGAGUAACACGUGGACAACCUGCCUCAAGGCUGGGGAUAACAUUUGGAAACAGAUGCUAAUACCGAAUAAAACUUAGUGUCGCAUGACACAAAGUUAAAAGGCGCUUCGGCGUCACCUAGAGAUGGAUCCGCGGUGCAUUAGUUAGUUGGUGGGGUAAAGGCCUACCAAGACAAUGAUGCAUAGCCGAGUUGAGAGACUGAUCGGCCACAUUGGGACUGAGACACGGCCCAAACUCCUACGGGAGGCUGCAGUAGGGAAUCUUCCACAAUGGGCGAAAGCCUGAUGGAGCAACGCCGCGUGUGUGAUGAAGGCUUUCGGGUCGUAAAGCACUGUUGUAUGGGAAGAACAGCUAGAAUAGGAAAUGAUUUUAGUUUGACGGUACCAUACCAGAAAGGGACGGCUAAAUACGUGCCAGCAGCCGCGGUAAUACGUAUGUCCCGAGCGUUAUCCGGAUUUAUUGGGCGUAAAGCGAGCGCAGACGGUUUAUUAAGUCUGAUGUGAAAGCCCGGAGCUCAACUCCGGAAUGGCAUUGGAAACUGGUUAACUUGAGUGCAGUAGAGGUAAGUGGAACUCCAUGUGUAGCGGUGGAAUGCGUAGAUAUAUGGAAGAACACCAGUGGCGAAGGCGGCUUACUGGACUGCAACUGACGUUGAGGCUCGAAAGUGUGGGUAGCAAACAGGAUUAGAUACCCUGGUAGUCCACACCGUAAACGAUGAACACUAGGUGUUAGGAGGUUUCCGCCUCUUAGUGCCGAAGCUAACGCAUUAAGUGUUCCGCCUGGGGAGUACGACCGCAAGGUUGAAACUCAAAGGAAUUGACGGGGACCCGCACAAGCGGUGGAGCAUGUGGUUUAAUUCGAAGCAACGCGAGAAC